rnacentral:rRNA from 1 species
UGGAGAGUUUGAUCCUGGCUCAGGACGAACGCUGGCGGCGUGCCUAAUACAUGCAAGUCGAGCGGACUUUAGAAAAGCUUGCUUUUCUAAAGUUAGCGGCGGACGGGUGAGUAACACGUGGGCAACCUGCCCUAUAGUUGGGGAUAACUCCGGGAAACCGGGGCUAAUACCGAAUAAUACAUUCCUUCUCCUGUUGGAAUGUUGAAAGAUGGUUUACGCUAUCGCUAUAGGAUGGGCCCGCGGCGCAUUAGCUAGUUGGUGAGGUAACGGCUCACCAAGGCGACGAUGCGUAGCCGACCUGAGAGGGUGAUCGGCCACACUGGGACUGAGACACGGCCCAGACUCCUACGGGAGGCAGCAGUAGGGAAUCUUCCACAAUGGGCGAAAGCCUGAUGGAGCAACGCCGCGUGAGUGAAGAAGGUUUUCGGAUCGUAAAACUCUGUUGUAAGGGAAGAACAAGUACAGUAGUAACUGGCUGUACCUUGACGGUACCUUAUUAGAAAGCCACGGCUAACUACGUGCCAGCAGCCGCGGUA